rnacentral:rRNA from 11 species
UAGGAUAUAAAUAUCUUAAUGAUACCUGAUCCCAUCUAAACUUGGAGGCUAAGUAUCAUCAGCUCUGGUUAGUACUUAGAUGGGAAAGCACCAAUGAAUAUCAAGUGCUAUGAGCUAU